AUUAGAAGCCAGGCAGUUGUGGUUUGCAGAGUUGAACCCUGAAAGCACUGUGCUAACCAGCCCUGACGUUGGUAUAAGGACUUACAUCAAACCUAACAUCAGAGAAGCUGGACACCUGUACACACCCAGUGAAUAUCUCUGGGCUGGCUGCAAUUUAAGUCCGUUGGAGCAGCUUGCCUGAGAGUGAUAGACUAUUGGAGAAGGGGUUUUGUGGGGUCACAUGGGGCGAGAAGAGGCAGGAAGAGAAUAAUCCCAGCUUUGAAAAAUGGGAUGCAUUUCGCACAGAGCACCAGGAAAUCAGACCUUCAUCUUCCUUUCAAGAUCCGUUUUCCCCUCGCUGAGCACACUUAAAGAGGAGAAAAUGAAUUCUGCCCAUUGAAAAAGGGCAGACUGUAAUGAAAAACAACUUUAAAGACACUUCAGCACAUAAAGUCUUUGGGCUACAUCACUGACAAUGGUUUACAAGUUUAUUUUCAAUUUGCAGUUAUGCUGAGCAGACAUUUUGGGAAGUGCAGCAGUAACUCAGGCGGCGGGCUGCAGCAUCGUCUGCUCGGCGUCCAUCUGUACAGGAGCGUGUUGUCACAGACGAUCAGGUCGGAAGUCCUACCCAGGUCUUGUUGGGCUAAGAUCAGAGUGUUGGCAGGUCUGUGUUCCUUCUGGAAACUCUGGAGAAGAAUCCAUUUCCUCGCCUUUUCCAGCUUCUAGAGGCUGCCCACAUGCCUUGGAUUAUGGCCUCUUCCGCCAUCCUCAAAGCCAUCAACUGCAGCGAUGCUCAGAUGCUGGAAUAGAGAGAAAUUGAGAUGAGUUGCCAACAUGCCACUGGGAUUUCUCCCAGAACAGAAGAAUCUCAAAAUAACUUUUGCCACUGGUCCGCUGUGCGGCCCACAUCAUUAGGACUGAUGGAUCAGGUCGCCAGGACUGAUGGUUCCUUCUGUCCUGGCUCUGUUCCCUGCAAUUUUAGAAACAGUCAGCCUCCGAAGUCAUCAGUAUAGGCACCUGGCUCUUUUGAAAUAUCUUCCACAGCUUCUCAAAUCCCCACCAGAGAUUCAUCAUUUAGAUCCUGGAGGCUGGCUUAUCUAGCUUCACGUAUGUUCUUCCUCUGACCUAAGAAGCUCCCUUCUCCUCCCUAAUCGGACCAAGCCCUACUUAGGACUAGCUCCGUGGAUUAACUGAAUGUCAUUCUUCAAGGAAGCCAUGCUUGAAUACUCUUCACAGCACUGUCAAAUACAAUAAAUAAAGUUUACUUAUUAAAUACAAACAAAAUAAAUAAAGUUUAAA